AUGCAGCUCUCUGUGUUGCCAGUUGGAAUGUGACAUCAUCUGUCAUUCAGAGCCCCAAAUCCACGGGAGACUGAGAAAUUGUGCAAUUUUU